rnacentral:rRNA from 1 species
UGCAUAUCAAUAAGCGGAGGAAAAGAAACCAACAGGGAUUGCCCCAGUAACGGCGAGUGAAGCGGCAACAGCUCAAAUUUGAAAUCUGGCCUUCGGGUCCGAGUUGUAAUUUGGAGAGGAUGCUUUUGGCGCGGCGCCGUCCGAGUUCCUUGGAACAGGACGCCAUAGAGGGUGAGAGCCCCGUACGGGCGGCCGCCUAGCCUUUGUAAAGCUCCUUCGACGAGUCGAGUAGUUUGGGAAUGCUGCUCAAAAUGGGAGGUAAAUUUCUUCUAAAGCUAAAUACCGGCCAGAGACCGAUAGCGCACAAGUAGAGUGAUCGAAAGAUGAAAAGCACUUUGAAAAGAGGGUUAAAAAGUACGUGAAAUUGUUGAAAGGGAAGCGCCUGUGACCAGACUUGCGACCCGUGGAUCAUCCGGUGUUCUUCACCGGUGCACUCCGCGGGCUGCAGGCCAGCAUCGGUUUUCCUAGGGGGUUAAAGGUCGCAGGAACGUAGCUCUUUCGGGAGUGUUAUAGCCUGUGGCGUCAUGCUCUGGGGAGCCGCGGCCCGCGUUCGGCAAGGAUGCGGCGAGGCUCGCGCUGCGAU